rnacentral:rRNA from 1 species
UCGCUGUGAAGAUGCAGUGUACCCGCGGCAAGACGGAAAGACCCCGUGAACCUUUACUAUAGCUUGACACUGAACAUUGAGCCUUGAUGUGUAGGAUAGGUGGGAGGCUUUGAAGCGUGGACGCCAGUCUGCGUGGAGCCAACCUUGAAAUACCACCCUUUAAUGUUUGAUGUUCUAACGUUGGCCCCUUACCGGGGUUGCGGACAGUGUCUGGUGGGUAGUUUGACUGGGGCGGUCUCCUCCCAAAGCGUAACGGAGGAGCACGAAGGUUAGCUAAUCCUGGUCGGACAUCAGGAGGUUAGUGCAAUGGCAUAAGCUAGCUUGACUGCGAGCGUGACGGCGCGAGCAGGUGCGAAAGCAGGUCAUAGUGAUCCGGUGGUUCUGAAUGGAAGGGCCAUCGCUCAACGGAUAAAAGGUACUCCGGGGAUAACAGGCUGAUACCGCCCAAGAGUUCAUAUCGACGGCGGUGUUUGGCACCUCGAUGUCGGCUCAUCACAUCCUGGGGCUGAAGUAGGUCCCAAGGGUAUGGC